rnacentral:rRNA from 1 species
ACAAGGAUUCCCUCAGUAACGGCGAGUGAAGCGGGAAGAGCUCAAGCUUAAAAUCUCCACGCAAGUGGCGAAUUGUAGUCUAUUGAGGCUGUUGUCAGCAUAGCGACCUGGGACAAGUCCCUUGGAAGAGGGCAGCAUGGAGGGUGAUACUCCCGUCUCUGCUCAGGUUGUCUGUGUGUACGAUACGCUUUCUUUGAGUCGAGUUGUUUGGGAAUACAGCUCAAAGUAGGUGGUAAAUUCCAUCUAAAGCUAAAUAUUGGUGCGAGACCGAUAGCGAACAAGUACCGUGAGGGAAAGAUGAAAAGAACUUUGAAAAGAGAGUUAAAGAGUACCUGAAACUGUUGAAAGGGAACCGUAUCGUUUCUAGUGUUUAUCCUGUGCAUAUUUCAUUGGCGGUUGCAAAAUUGCUGGUGCCCUGUGCAUGGGUGUGACGUCAGAGUCAGUUUAAAUUGCGGGAGAUGGGUAGUGAGGAGGUGCGUCACAUCUGUGAAAGUUACAGCUCGCUGCCUAGUAGCCGUGGUUAAGACUGAGGUGCCUACAACAUGCCCUGGGGUCUGGUGUUGUCUCGUUUUAUGUACUGCUUGGAUAGCUUGCUAUGUUGGCGGUGCCUGAGGCGAUUGAUAAUAUUAGCAACCUCUGCUGU